rnacentral:rRNA from 1 species
GUUGUUUUCUCGAAAAUCAAUUAAAAAUGACUUGAUUUUGUGUUGUAUUGACCUUAAAAGCUUUCUUCACUUUUUUCAUGUCUUUUUUAAUGCACUUUUCGUUUAACAAGUCAACAUCAGUUUCUUUUGUUGUAAAAAGGUCAUUGGAAGGUGGCUUUCUUUUCGGAGAAAGUGUUUAUAGCCUUUGACUCCUGCAAUCGGAGAGACUGAGGUCUGCAGCGUAGAUCCUUCUUGGAUUAGAUUCAAUUGUGCUAAGUUAUAGCUUUUCAUAGACAACUUGUUGACUAUGUUUUGUCAUGUAGCUUACUCGCUUUUGAAAUUUUACCUAC